GACGAACGCUGGCGGCGUGCUUAACACAUGCAAGUCGAACGGACAGGCCCUGCUUUUGUGGGGUGCUCGAGUGGCGAACGGGUGAGUAACACGUGAGUAACCUGCCCUUGUCUUUGGGAUAACUUCAGGAAACUGGGGCUAAUACCGGAUAGGAGCUCCUGCUGCAUGGUGGGGGUUGGAAAGUUUCGGCGGUUGGGGCUGGACUCGCGGCUUAUCAGCUUGUUGGUGGGGUAGUGGCUUACCAAGGCUUUGACGGGUAGCCGGCCUGAGAGGGUGACCGGGGACAUGGGGACUGAGAGACGGCCCAGACGGCUACGGGAGGCAAUAGUGGAGAGUAUGGCACAAUGAGGGGAAGCCUGAUACAGCAACGCCGCGUUCGGGAUGACGGGCUUCGGGUUAUAAACCGCUUUCGCAGGAAAUGAAGCGUGAGUGACGGUAAUGGGUAAAGAAGCACCGGCUAACUACGUG
rnacentral:rRNA from 1 species